rnacentral:rRNA from 1 species
AACGAACGCUGGCGGCAGGCUUAACACAUGCAAGUCGAGCGCCCCGCGAGGGGAGCGGCAGACGGGUGAGUAACGCGUGGGAAUCUACCCAUCUCUACGGAAUAACGCAUGGAAACGUGUGCUAAUACCGUAUACGUCCUUCGGGAGAAAGAUUUAUCGGAGAUGGAUGAGCCCGCGUUGGAUUAGCUAGUUGGUGGGGUAAAGGCCUACCAAGGCGACGAUCCAGAGCUGGUCUGAGAGGAUGAUCAGCCACACUGGGACUGAGACACGGCCCAGACUCCUACGGGAGGCAGCAGUGGGGAAUAUUGGACAAUGGGCGCAAGCCUGAUCCAGCCAUGCCGCGUGAGUGAUGAAGGCCCUAGGGUUGUAAAGCUCUUUCACCGGUGAAGAUAAUGACGGUAACCGGAGAAGAAGCCCCGGCUAACUUCGUGCCAGCCGCCGCAGUAAAAC